GACUACAGGGGUAUCUAAUCCUGUUUGAUCCCCACACUUUCGAGCAUCAGCGUCAGUUACACUCCUGUGAGCUGCCUUCGCAAUUGGAGUUCUUCGUGAUAUCUAAGCAUUUCACCGCUACACCACGAAUUCCGCACACAUUUACUGCACUCAAGAUAACCAGUUUCAACUGCAAUUUCAAGGUUGAGCCUUGAACUUUCACAACUGACUUAAUCAUCCGCCUACGCUCCCUUUAAACCCAAUAAAUCCGGAUAACGCUCGCAUCCUCCGUAUUACCGCGGCUGCUGGCACGGAGUUAGCCGAUGCUUUUUCUUAAGGUACAUACAAAUGACUAUACAUAGCCAACUUUAUUCCCUUAUAAAAGAAGUUUACAACCCAUAGGGCAGUCAUCCUUCACGCUACUUGGCUGGUUCAGAUUCUCAUCCAUUGACCAAUAUUCCUCACUGCUGCCCCCCGUAGG
rnacentral:rRNA from 1 species